rnacentral:rRNA from 1 species
UGCAACUCGACUGCAUGAAGUCGGAAUCGCUGUAAUCGCAGAUCAGCAAAGCUGCGGUGAAUACGUUCCCGGGCCUUGUACACACCGCCCGUCACACCACGGGAGUCGGUCGCGCCUGAAGCCGGUGGCCUAUCAGUAAUGGGGGAGCCGUCUAUGGCGAGAUUGGUAACUGGGUGAAGUCGUAACAAGGUACC